rnacentral:rRNA from 1 species
AUACGGAGGGUGAAAGCGUUACUCGGAAUCACUGGGCGUAAAGCGCGCGCCGGCGGCUAUUUAAGUUGGAUGUGAAAGCCUACGGCUCAACCGUAGAACUGCAUCCAAAACUAUUUAGCUAGAGUGUGGGAGAGGAAGAUGGAAUUAGUUGUGUAGGGGUAAGAUCCGUAGAGAUAACUAGGAAUACCAAAAGCGAAGGCAAUCUUCUGGAACACUACUGACGCUGAGGCGCGAAAGCGUGGGGAGCAAACAGGAUUAGAAACCCUAGUAGUCC